rnacentral:rRNA from 1 species
GACAGAGGCCCCAAGCGUUAGGCGGAAUCACUGGGCUUAAAGCGUGUGUAGGCGGAUCGUUAAGUGUCUUGUGAAAUCCCACGGCUCACCCGUGGAACUGCUGGGCAUACUGGCGAUCUUGGGCCAACUAGGGGCAGCCGGAACAAGCGGUGGAGCGGUGAAAUGCGUAGAUAUCAGGAGGAACCCCGAUGGCGAAGGCAGGUCUCUGGGCAUUAACUGACGCUGAGGAGCGAAAGCAUGGGGAGCGAACAGG